CCAUUGAAAAAUAAGUAUUGUAGAAAUUACCCCAUCGACUACUUGACAAUCUAUCCUACUAUGGUCCAAAGGCUGGAUGUCUUGGACGCUAGUAGGGACCCAAUGCCCGAGCGUGUAGGGCAUGCCCUGACCCUGUGCUUGCAAUGCUACCUAGCAUCUUCCCUUGGUCCGAGUGCUUUAUAUGCUGAGACCCAAGUCCAAUGCUUCCAAUUAAUUAAUUAAUUAAACAUCUAACUAAUUAAUUAAAUUAAUUUUUAAUUAAUUAAUUUUUAAUACCUAAUGAUACUUAAUUAAUAUAAUUU
rnacentral:lncRNA from 1 species